GUGAGUAUGGCUCAAUUGGUAGGGCAUCUAACCUAGGAAGCUCAAGGUCCUGAGUUCAAAUCCCAGUACUGCCA
rnacentral:tRNA from 1 species